rnacentral:rRNA from 1 species
CUCGNNNGAGUGAACUAGCUACCUGAAAUCCUUAAUGUGUCAUUGAGGAUAAGGUAAGGGAAAAUAAUGAUAAUACCUUACUAUAAGUGUCGUCUAAAACUCGUGCCAGAAGACUCGGUAAGGCGAGAGACGCAAACGUUAAUCAUCUUGAUCAGGCGUAAAGGGUGUGUAGGCUGUUUAAGUAGGUAAUAUUUAAAUGUGUGUUAAUUUUUUUAUUUAUUAUCCUAUGUAUACUAGAAUCUAAAGGAGGUUAAAACAAUAUCCUUCACAGAAGUGUUCGAACUUAAGAAGAGGGGUAGAGUGUUAAAGGCGAAGGCUUUUUUCCAAUAAAGAUUGACGCUGAGAAACGAAGGGGAGGACAAAAAAAGGAUUAGAGACCCUUGUAUUCCUCUCUGUCAACGAUGAAUGGUAGUCAUGAGAAAGAAAUCAUCUUGAGGCGAUGUUAACACGUAAAACCAUUCCGCCUUGUGAGUACGACUGCAAAGUUGAAAACCCAAAAAAUUAGUCGGUUUCGGAGCNCUCGAAGUGAAGCAUG